ACGCUCGACACCUACGAGAGGAGCAGUGGGGAAUAUUGCACAAUGGGGGAAACCCUGAUGCAGCGACGCCGCGUGGAGGAAGAAGGUCUUCGGAUUGUAAACUCCUGUUGUUGGGGAAAAAGAGGAUGGUACCCAACAAGGAAGUGACGGCUAACUACGUGCCAACAGCCGCGGUAAUCUGAGCGGGCUGGCAAGGC
rnacentral:rRNA from 1 species